GACGAACGCUGGCGGCGUGCUUAACACAUGCAAGUCGAACGGAAAGGCCUCUUUUGUGUGGUUCUCGAGUGGAGAACGGGUGUGUAACACGUGAGUAGCCUGCCCUCUACUUUUGGCUAACUUCAGGCAACUGUGGCUAAUACCGGAUAGUAGCUCCUGCUGCAUGGUGGGGGGUGGAAAGUUUCGGCGGUUGGGGGUCUACUCGCGGAAUAUCCGCAUGUUGGUGGGGCAAUGGCUUCCCAAGGCUAUGACGGGUAGCCGGCCUGGGCGGGUGACCGGACGCCUUGAGACUGAAUAACGGCCCAGGCUACUACGGGUGGAAGCAGUGAGGAAUAUUGCACAAUGGGUGGGAGCCUGAUGCAGCAACGCCGUGUGCGGGAUAACAGCCUUCAGGUUGAAAGCCGCUUUCGCGCAUGACGAAGCUUUGUGUGACGGUAGUGGGUGAAGAAGCACCGGCUAACUACGUG
rnacentral:rRNA from 1 species